GUGUGGUUUGUGAUGAGUUCAUAGUUCAGCUGAUUGAUGGUGACGAUAAACUUCGCCCCUAUCUGAAACCACCA